UACAGAGGGUGCGAGCGUUAAUCGGAAUUACUGGGCGUAAAGCGCACGUAGGUGGCGACGUAAGUCGGGUGUGAAAGCCCCGGGCUCAACCUGGGAAUUGCAUUCGAGACUGCAUUGCUGGAGUACGGAAGAGGAGGGCGGAAUUCCCGGUGUAGCGGUGAAAUGCGUAGAUAUCGGGAGGAACAUCAGUGGCGAAGGCGCUCUGCUGGGCCUGCACUGACACUGAGGGAAGAAAGCUAGGGGAGCGAAAGGG
rnacentral:rRNA from 1 species